GGCAGGAUGUAGCCACCAGAGUUUCUAAUGUCACAGAAAGAAUGCCAGGCCCAUAGAAGAAGAAGCUGCUCUUUCCUGAGACCCUUUGAGGAACUGCUGUCAGAUCAAGGCUUCACUCAUUACACAACUCUCUCAGCUUGGUGAAUGUAUUGUAACACUACUAAGAAGCCCUCUCAAGGGAUUCACCCAUCAGCCAUGGUCAGAGCUUGGUGAAUAUAUUGUAACACUACUAAGAAGCCCUCUCAAGGAAUUCACCCAUCAGCCAUGGUCAGAGCAACAUAACAGCUUUGUUCUGCCUUUGAAGAUGAUACACAGUUUCUAUGGAAACAAGCGCUACAGACCUGGUAACAUGAAGGAUGUUCAAUGUGUGUUUCCUGUUUGGGUUUCAGCUACACCUGCACUGUGCAACUGUUGGGGUGCUAACUGACUUCAGCUGGAUGAGUUCUUUGCCACCCUUACUCAUCUACUGGACUCUCUUUUAUCAAGAAGUUCAAAAAGCUCAAGAGAGGAAAAUAUUGUUACAGGAAGAUUCUCUAGGGAAAGAUGUCAUAGACCAGUGAUUCUCAAACUUCUUAAUGCUGUGACCCUUUAACACAGUUCCUCAUGUUGUGGUAACCCCCAACCAUCACAUUAUUUCAUUGCUACUUCAUAACUGUAGUUUUUGCCACUGUUAUAGAUUGUAAUGUAAAUAUCUGAUACUUAGAAUAUCUGAUAAUACAACCUCUGUGGGGAUCAGGACCCAUAGGUUGAGAGCUAUUUCUCUAGAGGGAUUGAAAUGCUCAUCCUUGUUACCCCAAUGUCUUAGUUAGGGUCUUACUGCUAUGAAGAGACACUACAACCAAGGCAACUUGACCAAGACACCGUGAUAAGGACAACAUUUAAUUGGGGCUGGCUUAUAGGUUCAGAGGUUCAGUCCAUUAUUA